rnacentral:rRNA from 1 species
AAUAAGUCUCUGGUGAAAUCCUGCAGCUUAACUGUGGGAAUGCUGGAGAUACUAUAGACUGAGACCGGGAGAGGUUAGAGGUACUCCCAGGGUAGAGGUGAAAUUCUGUAAUCCUGGGAGGACCGCCUGUUGCGAAGGCGUCUAACUGGAACGGUUCUGACGGUGAGGGACGAAGUUAGGGGCGCGAACCGGAUUAGAUACCCGGGUAGUCCUAACUGUAAACGAUGCGGACUUGGUGUUGGGGUGGCUUUGAGCUGCUUCAGUGCCGAAGGGAAGCUGUUAAGUCCGCCGCCUGGGAAGUACGGUCGCAAGACUGAAACUUAAGGAAUUGGCGGGGGAGCACCACAACGCGUGGAGCCUGCGGUUUUAAAUUGGAUUCAACGCCGGACAUCUCACCAGAGGCGACAGCUGUAUGAUAGCCAGGUUGAUGACUUUGCUUGACUAGCUGAGAGGAGUGGUGCAUGG